GAGGAAAGUCCGGGCUCUAUUUAGAAUGCUACAGCUAUAUAACAUAUAGUGUAGGUGACUACGAGGAUAGUGCCACAGAAACAAACCUACUGUAAUUUUUAUGAUGUAAGGGUGCAAUGGUUCGGUAAAAGCGUACCAGAAGUAUUUUAAAGAUAUUUGCUAGGUAAACCCCGUAUUAGAGCAAAGUAAUUAGUAUAAAUAAUAAUUUUCUAUUCUUUAUUAUUUUAAUGUUUAAAACUUAAAGUCUAAGUUAUUAAUAUACUGCAUAAAGUUAGGUUACUUAAGAUUAAUAAUUACCCUUUUCUGUUAAUUGCUCAUAUUUAUAACAAUUAAGAACAAAACCCGGCUUAU
rnacentral:RNase_P_RNA from 1 species